AUUGAACGCUGGCGGAAUGCUUUACACAUGCAAGUCGAACGGAUCCUUCGGGAUUAGUGGCGGACGGGUGAGUAACGCGUGGGAACAUACCCAAAGGUACGGAAUAGCCUCGGGAAACUGGGAGUAAUACCGUAUGUGCUCGAAAGAGGAAAGAUUUAUCGCCUUUGGAUUGGCCCGCGUUGGAUUAGGUAGUUGGUGGGGUAAUGGCCUACCAAGCCGACGAUCCAUAGCUGGCUUGAGAGGAUGAUCAGCCACACUGGGACUGAGACACGGCCCAGACUCCUACGGGAGGCAGCAGUGGGGAAUCUUAGACAAUGGGGGAAACCCUGAUCUAGCCAUGCCGCGUGAUCGAUGAAGGCCUUAGGGUUGUAAAGAUCUUUCAGGUGGGAAGAUAAUGACUGUACCACCAGAAGAAGCCCCGGCUAACUCCGUGCCAGCAGCCGCCGUAA
rnacentral:rRNA from 1 species